rnacentral:rRNA from 1 species
GACGUAGGGCGCGAGCGUUGUCCGGAUUUAUUGGGCGUAAAGAGCUCGUAGGCGGCUUGUUGCGUCGACUGUGAAAACCUGCGGCUCAACCGUGUGGUCUGCAGUCGAUACGGGCAGGCUGGAGUUCGGUAGGGGAGACUGGAAUUCCUGGUGUAGCGGUGAAAUGCGCAGAUAUCAGGAGGAACACCAGUGGCGAAGGCGACUACCUGGCCUGUUCUUGACGCUGAGGCGCGAAAGCUAGGGGAGCAAACGGG